GAUGAAGAACGCAGCGAAAUGCGAUACUUGGUGUGAAUUGCAGAAUCCCGUGAACCAUCGAGUCUUUGAACGCAAGUUGCGCCUCAAGCCAUUAGGUUGAGGGCACGUCUGCCUGGGCGUCACAUAUCGUUGCCUGAUGCCAGUUUCCUCGUGAUGGGUGACUGUGCAGGGCGAAUGAUGGCUUCCUGUUAGCAUUGUUGCCUCAUGGUUGGUUGAAAAUUGAGUCCUUGGUAGGGAGCGCCGUGAUAGAUGGUGGUUGAGUGACGAACGAGACCCAAUCAUGUGAGACCCCUACCGAAUUUGGCCUUCAUGACCCACAUGCGUCUUUGGAACGCUCAUGACGAGACCUCAGGUCAGGCGGGGCUACCCGCUGAGUUUAAGCAUAUCAAUAAGCGGAGGA
rnacentral:misc_RNA from 1 species